CGGGUAGUUUUUGCGAGCAAUGUCAACAAAUUGUACACGAUUGAAAAUCUCAAAUCUUUCAUAAGUUUACAAAGUCAGGCGAAGGCGGGACUCUCACACAUUGGGCGAGUGAUCGCUGCAGUUCUUCAACUGAUCUUGCCUUUUGCAUGUAACUAGCUAAUUAAAUCUAAUCUAAAUAAAAAAUGAUUCAUGCCAGAUGAUCAGCCUAUUGUUGAAUGUCUAAACACUGAGGAAAUAAACAUUCGCGAACAAGGAACUAUUUAGUAAGCAUUUACGACUACGUGAAAAGAUCGCCAAAGAUUACACGGCGCUGUUUACAAUGGUUCUCUAACUCACACGAAAUGUUUUCAUUGAAAGUUAAUUGAAGGAUAAAACAUUGAUACAAAGUUGGAAGGGAUCGACACACAGUUUGGAAAUU